GACGAACGCUGACGGUGUGCUUUAGACAUGCAAGUCGAACGAGAAAGCCCUUCGGGUGGAGUACAGUGGCGAACGGGUGAGUAACACGUGGGCAACCUGCCCCUCGCAGGGGGACAACCGGAGGAAACUCCGGCUAAUACCCCGUAAGCUUGUUGGGUCGCAUGACCCUUCAAGGAAAGGUAGCUUCGGCCAUCCGGCGAGGGAUGGGCCCGCGGUGCAUUAGCUAGUUGGUGGGGUAACGGCCCACCAAGGCGACGAUGUAUAGCUGGUCUGAGAGGAUGAUCAGCCACACUGGGACUGAGACACGGCCCAGACUCCUACGGGAGGCAGCAGUCGGGAAUCUUGCGCAAUGGGCGAAAGCCUGACGCAGCAACACCGUGUGAGCGACGAAGGCCUC
rnacentral:rRNA from 1 species